UACGAAGGUGGCAAGCGUUGUUCGGAAUUACUGGGCGUAAAGCGCGUGUAGGCGGCUCUUCAAGUCAGACGUGAAAGCCCCAGGCUCAGCCUGGGAACUGCGUUUGAUACUGUCGAGCUAGAGUGUGGAAGGGGCAAUCGGAAUUCCGUGUGUAGCGGUGAAAUGCGUAGAUAUACGGAGGAACACCAGAGGCGAAGGCGGAUUGCUGGGCCAACACUGACGCUGAGACGCGAAAGCCAGGGUAGCAAACGGG
rnacentral:misc_RNA from 1 species